UACGGAGGGGGCUAGCGUUGUUCGGAAUUACUGGGCGUAAAGCGCACGUAGGCGGAUCAGUCAGUUAGAGGUGAAAGCCCAGGGCUCAACCCUGGAACUGCCUUUAAUACUGCUGGUCUGGAGUCCGAGAGAGGUGAGUGGAAUUCCGAGUGUAGAGGUGAAAUUCGUAGAUAUUCGGAGGAACACCAGUGGCGAAGGCGGCUCACUGGCUCGGUACUGACGCUGAGGUGCGAAAGCGUGGGGAGCGAACGGG
rnacentral:rRNA from 1 species